AGUGGCGAACUGGUGAGUAACACGUGGGUAAACCUGCCCAGAAGAAGGGGAUAACACCUGGAAACAGAUGCUAAUACCGUAUAACAACAAGAACCACAUGGUUCUUGUUUGAAAGCUGGCCUUUGUGCUAGUGCUUCUGGAUGGGCCCGCGGCGUAUUAGCUAGUUGGUGAGAUAAUAGCUCACCAAGGCAAUGAUACGUAGCAGACCUGAGAGGGUAAUCGGCCACAUUGGGUACUGAGACGCGGCCCAGACUCC
rnacentral:rRNA from 1 species